UCGGGCCUCUUGCCAUCAGAUGUGCCCAGAUGGGAUUAGCUUGUUGGUGAGGUAACGGCUCACCAAGGCGACGAUCCCUAGCUGGUCUGAGAGGAUGACCAGCCACACUGGAACUGAGACACGGUCCAGACUCCUACGGGAGGCAGCAGUGGGGAAUAUUGCACAAUGGGCGCAAGCCUGAUGCAGCCAUGCCGCGUGUAUGAAGAAGGCCUUCGGGUUGUAAAGUACUU
rnacentral:rRNA from 1 species